rnacentral:rRNA from 1 species
AUUGAACGCUGGCGGCAGGCCUAACACAUGCAAGUCGAGCGCGCGGCGGGCGGGUGAGUACUGUGUGUGGGCAGCCCGAUAGAGGGGGAUAACUCCUGGAAACGGUAGCUAAUACCGCAUACGAUCGGAUCACCCACAUGGGAUGAGCUAGUGGGUGAGGUAAUGGCUCACCUAGGCGACGAUCCCUAGCUGGUCUGAGAGGAUGAUCAGCCACACUGGAACUGAGACACGGCCCAGACUCCUACGGAGGCAGCAGUGGGGAAUAUUGCACAAUGGGCGCAAGCCUGAUGCAGCCAUGCCGCGUGUAUGAAGAAGGCCCUAGGGUUGUAAAGUACUUUCAGUCGGGAGGCGUUACCGACAGAAGAAGCACCGGCUAACUCCGUGCCAGCAGCCGCGGUAAUAC